rnacentral:rRNA from 1 species
GACGAACCGAGCGAACGUUGUUCGGAAUCACUGGGCUUAAAGGGCGCGUAGGCGGGCUGUCAAGUCUGGGGUGAAAUCCCGCGGCUCAACCGUGGAACUGCCUUAGAUACUGACGGCCUCGAGGGAGAUAGGGGCGAGCGGAACUGUGAGUGGAGCGGUGAAAUGCGUUGAUAUUCACAGGAACACCAGGGGCGAAGGCGGCCGACUGGCCGAGUGCUGACGCUGAGGCGCGACGGCGUGGGGAGCAAACCGG